rnacentral:lncRNA from 1 species
UUGACUCAAGGACCUUGGUGCAGCCUGGCUCAGGGAUCUUGGUGCAGCCUAACUCUGGAAUCUUGGUGUUUCCAGGUUGUGGAACCUUUGAGUGGCAUGGCUCCUUGGUUGUGGGAACAAAUAUUUCCUGAGGUGGUGGGGUAAAGGCACUUUGGGGUGGCAGGGCUCAGGCACCUUGGGGUGGCAGGGCUCCUUGGUUUUGGGGAUGCAUGGUUCCUGGGGUGGAGGCUGGCAAGGUUGUUUCACCUGCUGCUGCUGAGGCUGAGGGGGUGGGGUGCAAGGCUGCUUCUGCUGCUGAGAAUUCAUGCUUCAAAUGUACUUACCUGGUAUACGGAGCAGAAUGGGCUGUGUGGUCCCUUGGGUUUGGUGUGAAGGCAAUGGCCAGCUGGCUUUUAUAAGAUGAAUGAGCCCUGCCUC